rnacentral:lncRNA from 1 species
CUUUGAAAUGCUGUCAUUCCGUCUGGUGGAGAUGGACAGUUUUAAAAACCUGAUGGCGGUGGCUGCCCCACAGUACGUGGUUCCCAGCCGCCACUAUUUUUCCAGGCGAGCCAUCCCUUCCCUGCACAACCAAUUGGCGGACAAAAUCAGGUGUGCACUGCGCAACUCCAUCAGUGGCAAGGUCCACAUAACCACAGAUACGUGGACCAGUAAGCACAGGCAGGCACGCUAUAUCUCCC